rnacentral:tRNA from 2 species
GCCGGCAUAGCUCAGUUGGUAGAGCAGUGCAUUUGUAAUGCGAAGGUCGCGGGUUCGACUCCUGCUGCCGGCACCA